GGACGCUGUUGCCAGAUCUCACAAGAGAAAUAAACAACCAGCUCUACAAAAACAAGCCCAAAGUUGCUUAUUUUAAACAGACUUGGCAACACUGGAUAGAGAAGCAGCACAAAGGAGACACCGUAUCAUUACGGUCCCCAAGCGCCUGCCCCAUAAAACUGUGCCUGUUGAAAUGCGUUUGUCGUCAUGGCCCGGGCGCACGUCAGUGCGCAUUCAUGUGUGUGCUGCGCUGAGCGCACCUCAGAUAGCGCACAAGGCGCGCGCCAGUCCGGCUGCAAUCAAUCACCGGCAAUCAACACACCUGAGGCUGAUGACACCUGCCUUCUUAAGCCUGCGCAACCUGCUAUCCCGCGCCAGAACGUAGUCAUCUGUUCCUGUACACCUGCCUUCGUUCCCACGUUACGAGCUGUGUGUCUUGUCUUCCCGCGUUCCCUCUGCUUCCCUGGCUGCCUCUUGGAUCUCGACCUCCCACCUGGACACGGACCUUUGAUUCUCCCC